UACGUAGGGUGCGAGCGUUGUCCGGAAUUAUUGGGCGUAAAGGGCUCGUAGGCGGUCUGUCACGUCGGGAGUGAAAACACGGGGCUUAACCCCGGGCCUGCAGUGGAUACGGGCAGGCUGGAGGCAGGCAGGGGAGAACGGAAUUCCCGGUGUAGCGGUGAAAUGCGCAGAUAUCGGGAGGAACACCGGUGGCGAAAGCGGCUCACUGGACCACAACUGACGCUGAGGCGCGAAAGCUAGGGGAGCAACAGG
rnacentral:rRNA from 1 species